rnacentral:rRNA from 1 species
UACGUAGGCAGCGAGCGUUGUUCGGAGUUACUGGGCGUAAAGGGUGUGUAGGCGGUUCUUUAAGUUUGGUGUGAAAUCUCCCGGCUCAACCCCGAGCGGUCGUGGGAAACUGGUUGGCUAGAGUGCGGGAGAGGAGAGUGGAAUUCCUGGUGUAGCGGUGAAAUGCGCAGAUAUCAGGAGGAACACCGGUGGCGAAGGCGGGUCUCUGGGCCGAUACUGACGCUGAGGAGCGAAAGCGUGGGGAGCAAACAGG